AGGGGCGGCUUACACUGCAAGUCGAACGCCCCGCAAGGGGAGUGGCAGACGGGUGAGUAACGCGUGGGAAUCUACCGUGCCCUGCGGAAUAGCUCUGGGAAACUGGAAUUAAUACCGCAUACGCCCUACGGGGGAAAGAUUUAUCGGGGUAUGAUGAGCCCGCGUUGGAUUAGCUAGUUGGUGGGGUAAUGGCCUACCAAGGCGACGAUCCAUAGCUGGUCUGAGAGGAUGAUCAGCCACAUUGGGACUGAGACACGGCCCAAACUCCUACGGGAGGCAGCAGUGGGGAAUAUUGGACAAUGGGCGCAAGCCUGAUCCAGCCAUGCCGCGUGAGUGAUGAAGGCCUUAGGGUUGUAAAGCUCUUUCACCGGAGAAGAUAAUGACGGUAUCCGGAGAAGAAGCCCCGGCUAACUUCGUGCCAGCAGCCGCGGUAAUACGAAGGGGGCUAGCGUUGUUCGGAAUUACUGGGCGUAAAGCGCACGUAGGCGGAUAUUUAAGUCAGGGGUGAAAUCCCAGAGCUCAACUCUGGAACUGCCUUUGAUACUGGGUAUCUUGAGUAUGGAAGAGGUAAGUGGAAUUCCGAGUGUAGAGGUGAAAUUCGUAGAUAUUCGGAGGAACACCAGUGGCGAAGGCGGCUUACUGGUCCAUUACUGACGCUGAGGUGCGAAAGCGUGGGGAGCAAACAGGAUUAGAUACCCUGGUAGUCCACGCCGUACACGAUGAAUGUUAUCAAUCUUACAGUAUGCUUAUCGGUUGUUCAGUUGACGCUUUAAACCUUCCUCCUUUGCACUUCGGUAGCAAGAUUACAACUCUAAAUAUUAUAACAAUGGCCCGCACAACCGACGGACCAUGGAGUUUGUUUUUUAGUAACGCGCAGAACCAUACCAUCUCUUGUCAUUCACAUUUUGGGCAGGGGCAGCAUUGUCAUUCUCUUUGACUGGCCCCAGAACAGAAGAUGCAUGGCAGUGGUCUGCUCAGGUCGUGUGAUGUGGGGUUAGGUCCCGCAACGAGCGCAACCCUCCCUCUUACUUUCCUUGCAAUUAUUUGGUCAGUCUAUGGAAACGGCCGGUGAUAAACCGAGAGAAAGGAGGGGGGGGAGUCAAUUCCUCAUUCCCCCUCCUUGGUGGCUGGCACCCUACUACAUAUAAUGGUGACAGUGGUGGGCGGGACAACAAUGACGAGC
rnacentral:rRNA from 1 species